rnacentral:rRNA from 1 species
UACGUAGGGUGCGAGCGUUGCCCGGAUUUACUGGGCGUAAAGGGCGCGCAGGCGGCUCAUUUUGUCAGGCGUGAAAGCCCCGGGCUUAACCUGGGAACUGCGUUUGAUACGGAUGGGCUAGAGUUCGGGAGAGGAGAGUGGAAUUCCCAGUGUAGAGGUGAAAUUCGUAGAUAUUGGGAAGAACACCGGUGGCGAAGGCGGCUCUCUGGACCGAGACUGACGCUGAGGCGCGAAAGCGUGGGGAGCAAACAGG